CCCUUAGAUGUUCUGGGCCGCACGCGCGCUACACUGAUGCAUUCAACAAGCCUAGCCUUGACCGAGAGGUCCGGGUAAUCUUUGAAACUGCAUCGUGAUGGGGCUAGAUUAUUGCAAUUAUUAAUAUUCAACGAGGAAUGCCUAGUAAGCGUGAUUCAUCAAAUCGCGUUGAUUACGUCCCUGCCCUUUGUACACACCGCCCGUCGCUCCUACCGAUUGAAUGUGUUGGUGAGGAGCUCGGAUUGGCAGCAGUUGGUGGUUCGCCACCGGCUAUUGCUGAGAAGUCCUCCAAACCGCCCCAUUUAGAGGAAGGAGAAGUCGUAACA
rnacentral:rRNA from 1 species